CACAUCCAUAAGAUAUUAUCUAUCGCUCUUUGUCUCUCCAAUUUCUAAAAUGGCCCAGCUGGACCUGGUCCAGUUUUUAUGUGGAGCAAGAGAAAAACAAAAACCAAAGAGGAAAUAUAUAAGGAAUAUAGCAUUUAGAUGGAUAUAUGGAUAUAUAUCUUCAAUUUUCCUCCAACCACCGCUCUCUUCCUAUCUCCAAAAC
rnacentral:misc_RNA from 1 species